rnacentral:rRNA from 1 species
UGGCGGCAUGCCUUACACAUGCAAGUCGAACGGCAGCAUGAUGUGUAGCAAUACACGUUGAUGGCGAGUGGCGAACGGGUGAGUAAUAUAUCGGAACAUGUCCUGUAGCGGGGGAUAACCUAUCGAAAGAUGGACUAAUACCGCAUACGCUCUACGGAGGAAAGCGGGGGUCGCAAGACCUCGCACUAUAGGAGUGGCCGAUAUCGGAUUAGCUAGUUGGCGGGGUAAAAGCCCACCAAGGCGACGAUCCGUAGCUGGUCUGAGAGGAUGAUCAGCCACACUGGAACUGAGACACGGUCCAGACUCCUACGGGAGGCAGCAGUGGGGAAUUUUGGACAAUGGGCGCAAGCCUGAUCCAGCCAUGCCGCGUGAGUGAAGAAGGCCUUCGGGUUGUAAAGCUCUUUCGGCAGGAACGAAAUGGUUCGUGUUAAUACCACGGACUGAUGACGGUACCUGAAGAAGAAGCACCGGCUAACUACGUGCCAGCAGCCGCGGUAAUACGUAGGGUGCAGGCGUUAAUCGGAAUUACUGGGCGUAAGGCGUGCGCAGGCGGUUUCUUAAGUCAGAUGUGAAAGCCCCGGGCUUAACCUGGGAACUGCGUUUGAAACUGGGAGACUCGAGUGUGGCAGAGGGGGGUGGAAUUCCACGUGUAGCAGUGAAAUGCGUAGAUAUGUGGAGGAACACCGAUGGCGAAGGCAGCCCCCUGGGUCAACACUGACGCUCAUGCACGAAAGCGUGGGGAGCAAAC